CGGACGGGUGAGUAACGCGUGGGUAACCUGCCUUAUACAGGGGGAUAACAGUCAGAAAUGGCUGCUAAUACCGCAUAAGCGCACAGAACUGCAUGGCUCAGUGUGAAAAACUCCGGUGGUGUGAGAUGGACCCGCGUUUGAUUAGCUAGUUGGUGGGGUAACGGCCUACCAAGGCGACGAUCAAUAGCCGACCUGAGAGGGUGACCGGCCACAUUGGGACUGAGACACGGCCCAAACUCCUACGGGAGGCAGCAUG
rnacentral:rRNA from 1 species